CUGAGAGGUAUUGCAUUUCGAUUAAAUGUACUGAUUUCUACAUAUACUGAUCAUGGAUCUUCUGUGGCGUGCAGCAAUUCUCAAUCUUGUGAGCAGUGGUCUGUCAGUCAUCGGCGGAAUUCUUAUUUUUAUCGAAUACAGCAUUAAUUUCCAACACAAUCGACUAGCCACGAUGUUCGUGUUCAUGACGAUUGGUGACGUUAUGUAUGCCGCUGGUUACAUUGUGGGGAAUAUGAGAUAUCAUGACCUGUGUGUACAUGUGGAAACCAACGCCUAUGUGAUUGGUACUGAUUGCAAAUGCAAUACAGUGUCAGAUGAUGCCAGCAGCGGCCUGCUCUGCAAGGGUGAAAGCUUUGUUACGACGUACGCAAGUCUGGUGUCGUUUACUUGGACCUGUACUUUACUUAUCACUUUAUAUUUAUACUACAGAGGCCAUGACAGACCAUCACGGUUAAGGGAGUGGAUUAUGCACAUUGUCGGAUGGAUUUUGCCAGAUCUCUCUCUCUCUCUCUCUCUCUCUCUCUCUUGUUUUAACCAUAACAAAUCGGUACAUGAAAUGAUCAAAUAAAUGAAUGGAGUAACUGUUUACAGGUGUACUUGUCAUUAUCGCUGUAUCAGUCGGAGCCCUGGGUGAAGACAAAGGAGAUUAUGGCGUUCCAUGGUGCUGGGUGCGGAACGUUACUUCCAAAGACGAAAAAAUUUUGUGGAUGCUUUUGGCGGGGAAAUUCUGGGAAAUUUUGACCUACAUCAUUACGUUCGUCAUAUUUGUCCUCUGCAUGAAACAUACAAGUUGUAACAGAAUUAAAGCAGAUAAGGAACAUGUAGAUGACCAGUCAUUGAGGAUCCAGAGAUUUCCCUAUGCGUGUAUAAUUUUGUUGAGCGUCCGUUGCUUCGGCACAGUCCGUUUUUUCUUGUAUGUGUUUGAUGUGCAAGUUAGCGAUACAUCACAUGAAUGGUUGUUGAAUUUACAAAGUAUUGGAGAUGGCAGUUUGGCGUUUGUGAAUUUUGUAUUCUAUUUGUUCACUAACCCCCCUGUCGUACGAGAAUAUUGGGGGCGAAUCCGAUGCUGCAAAAGGGAAAGAAUUGUUUGUCAGAGUUGAAUAGAAAGAUGGCAUACCACUUCUUUUGCCAUAACGCCGUACGUUAUAGAAAGGAAAGACUGAAAUUUUCGGGUAUCAAGAGCCCGUUAAGCACCCCCUGGAAUUACAUUUGGACUGGGGAUUGAUUGAAUUUAACAUUCGAUUUGUGAUAGUUUAUAUUCUCGGGCGGUAAUCCGCAUCGGACACUGUUUUUGUGAACUUUGGUUAAACGUACAUGUAUUGUAAGUUAUUGGUUAUAUCAAUUUAUUUGUCUAUAAAUAAUUGUAAAUAAAUUGGUAAAUCUUUGAAUUCUUUGUGCAGAGAUUAAAAGUGUAUUCUGAUUCAUCACGAAAUUGUGGGCUCGUCCGGGAUAAAGAGUUAUUGUAUUUUUCAAGAUAUGUAUCUAUUUCAUUUGUUGGAUUCCAUAAUCAACAUAAAUGAGGCAUAUAGGGUUGACGACGUGUGUGACCGGUCGUCAAGGGAUGC